AUUCCUGUCUGUCAGCCCACUAAAAGGGUGCAUUCUCAUCCCCUUUCUGCCAUGAAGCAAGUUGCUGCUCUGGGCAAUGUCUGUGGACAGCGAGUGAUGCCAGUGAUUAGGGGGUAAGGCUGUAUGAUGGGGUGGCACAUAAGGAAGCUACUGAGGCUGCAACGUGGAGAUACACCCUUCAGUUUCGCUUCGAUCAACAAUACGUGUGUUAUGAUCUUCACUGGGCUCGGAUUCAGUGUAUCAUCUUUCUUGCUGCCCUUGAAGAGUGGUGUCCAGUGAAUCUUUCAAAGAAUGAUACUGAGCUUCAUUGUUGAUGAACAAAAAUGCAAAUCUCACCCAGAGCAUGCAGGAACAUGCUAUAAUCACUACACUCCUAGAAUGUGAUCUCUUUCAAUAUUGACUGCAUCCAUGCCUUCCACACACUUGCACCAGUUGGGAGGAUGGAGAUGUCAUCUGGGCAGAGGGAGAAGAGCAGUACCAUUCAGAGGUCUGUCCCUCUUAAGAUAUAUUCUCUCUGUCAACCUAGGUGAGUAUUUUAAGUCUCCAACAUGAUAUCACUAAAUGCAGAGUUAGGAAGAAAUACAUGCAAUCUUGCAAGUUAGUAUAAGCAGAUUCAGUACACCACUGACUAUUUGUGUUACCUAAAAAUUACCUGAAAAAUGCCGUGGCCUGCCCAAGUUUUUAUCCAGGGGACAGAGGAAGGACAAUCCCCCAAAUAUUGAAUAAAUAUAAAGACAGCAGAACAAAACAGAACGGCUUUCUAAUUUCUUACAGACCAUAGUUGUUCAACAUAAUACUUACACAUUUGAAAAAAGAAGAUUGUUUUAUUGGAGUGCCUUAAGAUGUUUUCAACAUAUGGAUUUUACAGCAGGGCAGUUCAAGAGGCAUGAGGAAUGUUUCUUUUCUCUAUUUGUUGGAGCACUGGAGUGUGAGCUGAAGCAGCCUAAUCCUGACUUGCAGAAAUGGAGAGGACAUGACUUACCGGAAUUGUUCAUGGAAUUGGUUUGGCUAAUUCUCAUUGAUUCUGCCAUUUCUCCAGAAGCCAUUACUACAGCUGUUGAAACAGGGGUAGAGAAAAAUGACAGGUGCUAAGUGGUAUCUAGGAGGUUAAUAAUGAGCAUAUUUAAAAUAAUCUCUAGGACUUCUGGAAUUUUCUAGGAGGAAUCUUAAGAAAUGCUCUAGAUUUUGUAACAGCUAAUAAAGGAGAUAUUAUAAUGCUGAUGGUGACAGUGGUGACCCUGAUCUACCCUGGAAAACUUGGCUUUUAUUGUUUAUUCUGUCGUAUCUCAUCGUUAAUUCCUAUUUUUUAUUCUUUACUUUAAAAAUUGUUUUUAUUUUAGCUACACAAUUAGUUACACUUUUUUUAUUCUUGGGACCUAUAACAUUCAAUGAACGUCUUAGAAAGGUGAUGGUAAUGUCUAGACCAAACAAAAGAAGAAUAGGAAACUGUUCAGGUAAGUAAAAAAGAUAGUCUGUCCUCUUUUAGAGUUUUUGUGCUCAGAGGUGAAGUUUUCCCCUCACAUACCUAAUAAAAACUAUAAUUUGCAUUAUAAACUCCCUGCUACUUAGGUUCCUAAGGGGUGGACCAUCUUGACCUUUUAAUUAUUAAUGCUUUUCCUCAAAUUACAAUUAUUUGAGGAAUAAUUACAAUCCCUGUCCUGCUAACUGGCAAUUUUCUAAUAGAGUUUUCAUUUCUCCAUAUUUCAUUAAUUGCAACUUGUGUAUCAUAUAAUGAUAGAAUCUUCAGAACAGCACCUUGUUAACUGGAAAGGUUAUGAAAUGCUAAUGAGCUCUUUUAAAUGGCUAACUCCCUGUAAGACUCUCCAGAUUCUUUCUUUUCUUUAAUGUUUCUUAUAUUUUUAGACAUUCUUCCUUGUAAAGUAUUCUUCAAGAUUAUUUUAAAUAUUCUUGAAAAGAAAUUAACAUAUUUGAUGGCCUUCUGUAUGUUGAACCUGCUCACAUAAUUACUGUGUUUAUUUCUUUCAACAAGCCCUGUGAGUAAGGCAUUCCUGCUCCUCUGCAGUAAAGGGAAACAAGGAUAAAAAAACAAUGUUAUUGGCUCAAGGUCAAUGGUGGAGCAACGAUUUAAGUUCAAAUUUUCCAUCUUCAAAUCUUGUGUUCUUUCUUUUGUAGAACUCAAAGGGCUGUGUGAAAAGUUUACUGUGGAAAAAGAAAUUGAAAAAACUGCCACUAAGUAGCAAUGGAAGGACUUUUCCCGCUAAGAUGAGGAACUGCUCAGAUCACCAGCUGCUUCAGGUUACCAGCCCACACCUGUCUGUCUCACCUCUGACAACCUUGGAUGAAGAUAGCCCGAAAACUUGCCUGGAAGUUUAACAACAACAGAGGAGAGCUCCUUUAUCAUCAAAAGCCAAGAAAGCAAUGCAGUCUUGCUUAUAAAAGUUACACCUGCAAAAAUGGGACUGAAUCCAGUGAGGAAGGACAUAACAUUUUGCCUGAAUGUGCAAAAUAUGAGUGGGGUGUUGUCUGUAUCCCUGCAGGCUCCGAGCAGCCUAGUGGGUAAAGAAACCAAGGCUUAGAGACCUGCUCACAGUCGUUUCGUGAGGGAAUGCAACAUCUGGGUCUAGGGUCCAAAUCUAUCUCUGCUGUGAAGAGGAACUCAUACAGGAGAUCUACAUGAUUACCAAUUCUUGGCCUUGCAGUGGAGGGAUUUGUCCUUACAGUGCUGUGGAAACUGGUGAAGAGGUCUGAGUUUGGAUAUAAAGCUGUAGUUUCUGGCCUGGUGCUGGCACCUGAAGUCCACAGACAGCUGGGCAAAGAAGAUGGAUGGGAAGCAGAGGAAGAAAAGGCAAGCUGAAUGAAGGAGAAACUGGUGCCUUCCAUCAUGGAGCUAAAUAUGCAUCUGGUCCAGGAUUCAGGGAAAUUGAUGCAGCAGGAGGAUCUGGCAGGAGCCCAGCUGCUGCCCCUCACCAACAAGGUGAGCUUGUGGAUAAGUGACAACAUGCAUGAGUUCCAACAGUGCUUGGAGCCCUGCAUCCAUCUUCCAAGCAUAAAAAAACAAGAUGGCUACUGCUUCACUUCCACUUUCUACAUCUUAUGCAAAAUGUCUCUUGAGGUCCACACUGUCCAAGAAAUCUGCAGAAAAGACAUAUGGAAGACUUAGUUCUAAGCCAAGUUGAUACAAUAGACAUCUAUCACACACUAUUUAUCAUAAGAUUUGGUGAGGGACGGGGGGUUCACAGAUGCCCUAAACCCCACUGAUAGAUAGCCUAGGGGUUUAUGAGCCUUGGAUUAUUAAAAAUCUCUCUUCUAGUGUUCAUGAUAAUAGGAAUGGCAUCAGUGACUUAAUUAAGAAAACAUCACCUUCUGAAUUUAGGCUGAUCCGUGUCAAUGAGUUUUAAUAGCUGGAAAAAUUUGUAUUUUAGUUACCUUUCUAAUUUUCUCUUCACUUGAGAGCCUGUCAAUCUUCUCAGUACUCAGGAGUCAGUCUGUCAGUACUAAGGAGUCACAUUCUUUACAAUGCCUUUUUAAAAUGUUAAGUUUUAUUUCCUAAUUUUUCAAGCAAAUGCACAUAUUAUUAAAAAUGUAUAUGCCACUGACUUUAGUCAUAAUUAAAUAAAAUAAAUGAGUGGUUUUUCUUUGAAAUCAAAUGUAUCAGGUAAUUUUAAGCCAUGGAAUUGUGUUUAAGUUAUUGCCAUUUAUUUUGAAUUUUUAAACUUAUUGAGCACUGGGUCCUCCUUUAUUCUUACUCUAGUUUUUCACUUUUGCCCUUAUGAAUCUUUUGAGUUAAUAGAAAACCUUUCAGUUAGAUUGUCUCUUGAUCUUUUGACCAAUCUUCAACUUCAUAGAAAGUAGGUAGCCCCUGCCCAUCUGCUUACUGACACAAGGAAAAGCCUUUCUAUUGCUAGGUGCUAUCUAGUGCUGGAUAAUAACAGCUGAGAUAUUGGGAGUUUUAUGCAGUGCUACUUUAUUGCUAUGGGAACUUAGACAACUCUCUUUUCUGAAAACUGUUUUCACAAAAAAAUUGCUUCAUAGGAUUUCACUAAACAUCUUCCCAUUGUCAGGUGGUUCUCAAAGUCUUACAUCUUGUAAUGAAUGUGAUUAUCAAGUUUACAUAAACAUCGAUAAAAAGAAAAGUCUUUUUCUUUUUACCCAUUGUCCAAUAUGUACCUGAGAUACUUUCUGGUAUUAUAUCAUGGAGGCGAAAAAUAGCAGUUGAUGGAAAUAUGGUAUUAGUACAAAAAGUGAUUUUGGAUUUUUAAAACUGUAUUCAUUCAAAAAUUAUGUCCAUUAAAAAAUAAUUCCUAUAGAUAUUUAGUUAGAAAGUAAACAAGACUUCUUAGGUUCUGGCCUUAUGAUCUAAACAGAAAGUUUCAUUCAUGUAUCUUAUCUGUAAAAUUACAUUUGUAAUUUCUUAAUUUUCAUAGAAAAUGACCUCGUUUUAAUUAUUGGUCUUCUGGACUUAGGCAUAGCAUAGUGCUCUAAAAUAGACAAUACUCAAACACUUGCUUCAUGAGAAAGGAUGGAACAAAUGAAUAAAUAAAUUUAUGAUGCUCUCUAAUUUCUAACAUCAAUUAAUGUAUUUAUUCCUAAAGCACCUCCUCCAAACUGAAGCAUAACCUCAUUUCUACCCCAAUGUGGCACACACUGUUGAUACUGAGAGAUGCAAUGCAACUAGCUCCGUGUGGCAAGUCUGUAGGAUCCCACAAAUUACCGGGAGUACAGAAGUUCUGGUCCAUUCUCAGAAGAAUUCUCUAACCAAGGAAAACCAAAAUCAUGUUAUUGCCAUCACUGACAGUUCCAACUGCACCUGAGCACUGCUCUUCACUGUCUUACCCUGAAGUUUAAACCCUAGAUUGAGCACCAACCUGUGCCCCCAUCUUAAAAUCUCAUUAAAUAUCUAAUUCAUUCUUCGGCUUUCCCAUAUUAAAAUAACUUAUUACACA